UGCAGUCGAACGGAAGUCGUUACGAAAUGGAAUGAAGAUUUAUCUGAUUGAAGUUUUGUAACAAUGGCUUUAGUGGCGGACUGGUGAGUAACACGUAAGCAAUCUACCUAUUAGAGGGGAAUAACAAUGAGAAAUCAUUGCUAAUACCGCAUAAGCUUGUAGUACCGCAUGGUACAGCAAGAAAAGGAGCAAUCCGCUAAUAGAUGAGCUUGCGGCUGAUUAGCUAGUUGGUGUGGUAACGGCAUACCAAGGCAACGAUCAGUAGCCGGGCUGAGAGGCUCUUCGGCCACAUUGGGACUGAGAUACGGCCCAGACUCCUACGGGAGGCAGCAGUCGGGAAUUUUGCGCAAUGGAGGAAACUCUGACGCAGUGACGCCGCGUAUAGGAAGAAGGUUUUCGGAUUGUAAACUAUUUUAGUCAGGGAAGAAAAAUGACAGUACCUGAAGAAUAAGCUCCGGCUAACUACGUGCCAGCAGCCGCGGUAAUACGUAGGGAGCAAGCGUUAUCCGGAUUUAUUGGGUGUAAAGGGUGCGUAGACGGGAAGACAAGUUGGUUGUGAAAGCCCUCGGCUCAACUGAGGAACUGCAACCAAAACUAUCAUUCUUGAGUGCGGGAGAGGAAAGUGGAAUUCCUAGUGUAGCGGUGAAAUGCGUAGAUAUUAGGAGGAACACCAGUGGCGAAGGCGACUUUCUGGACCGUAACUGACGUUGAGGCACGA
rnacentral:rRNA from 1 species